rnacentral:lncRNA from 1 species
CUGAACUGAAGGCCUAAGCAAUACAAGUAACUUCACAUAACCAAAACAAUUUUACAUAAGCAAAUAACUGCAACAAAUUAUGCUAUUUAAUCUUCUUAUUUUCUAGUUCAUGCUAGAAAAUAAGACAAGCAAAUAAGAAAUAUACUAUAUGCGUUCUAAUCUAGCCUUGACUUAGGAAAGAAAUCUUAACUCACAUGAAUCAACUGUCAAGAACCCCCUCUCAACGAACCCAUGCAUUCAAUCUUCUCGAAAGUCUACAAUAAAUGGUUAACACUGUUAACACAAGAACAAUCUCAACACAUUAUUUCUAAAUUUAGGCAUUUCUUGGCCAUAAAUGGCUUCACAUUAAUUCUACCCAUGAACUUUAUUAUCCUUAUGAUCUAAAGAUCAUUAUAUGCUAUAAAGUUUCUAACUUUAAUAGUAGAGAGUAAAUAAAUUACCUCGAAAGUUGUUCUAAAAAUUUCUAGGUCUUGGGUCUUGAAGAACCCUUUCAAUUUCUGAUGAAAACCUGGGAAAAUUAGAAUUUUUAGGUAUUAGAUGAUGUUAAUUUAGUGUUUUCAACUUGAAUUCGCGGUAGGGAUCUUACCUUCGGUGGAUUAGGGAAGUCCUCAGUCAUUCUUUCUCUCAAAAACCUCUAUGAAAUGCUGUAGAAAUAAUUAGGUUUCUCUCUCCC